CGGAUUGCAGUCUGCAACUCGACUGCAUGAAGCUGGAAUCGCUAGUAAUCGCGGAUCAGAAUGCCGCGGUGAAUACGUUCCCGGGUCUUGUACACACCGCCCGUCACACCAUGGGAGUCGGAUAUGCCCGAAGUCAGUGACCCAACCGCAAGGAGGGAGCUGCCGAAGGUGGAGCCGAUGACUGGGGUGAAGUCGUAACAAGGUAUC
rnacentral:rRNA from 1 species